rnacentral:tRNA from 1 species
GGAAGACGAACUGAUCAGGGAUCAGACCUGUUUCGAAAACAGUGGGCACCCACGGGUGUGGGGUUCGAGUCCUCCGUCUUCCG